rnacentral:tRNA from 1 species
AAGACACUAGUAAAAUUAUUACAUUGCUUUGUCGGGGCAAUAUUGUGGCCUCAUCCCCACGUGUCUUG